GGUGUCGUUGUUUUCUUUGCUAAUUCUGAUGAGAGAGGAGACUACUCACCAGGGGUGUAAUUUGUUGGUUGCUUUACCACUUUCAGCCUGUAAUCUUUGGAAUUGCUAAAAAGACCAAAAAAAGUCUCUGUUGACAGUCGAGUAAGGUGUUCGGCGAAGCUGUUUGAGAAAGCAAUGGAAGCAUUUUCAGUAAUGUACUUUUUCAAAGAGUUCUGACCGCCUGUGAAAGAUAGAAUUUAAAGUUUCAGGAGGGUCAAAGGUGGCCGGCCUUUCGGGGCCCUUGAAGUCAGGAUGUCAACAGUAAACUCUCCACUCGCACGCAUACAAAACACAGCGGGUUGAUAGAGAUUGCUUUCACUCUUCAGCAACGGAAGCUCUAAUUUCAAGUUUUGUAAAAAAAUUUUUUUACUAUAUGUUCAGUUCAAAAGUUAAACGUAAAAGCAAAAUCAGGGGCCAAUCAUGAGGUUGCUAUGAACUUAAUUUUGGAGCCAUGCUUCAGACAGUUGGCUCAUCCGUUGUUUGCUCGAUCUAUGGAUUGUUUGAUGUUACCCGUCAUCGAUAGCUAAACUUAUACAAGUUUUUAUGUUA